rnacentral:lncRNA from 1 species
GGGUCUUGCUUUCCAAAAGCUUACUAGAUAGGACGCACGUUUUGAGUUAUGCUGCAGUAGGUUUUUGGUUAUAUAUGAAUCCCUUUGUCCUUUAUAGGAAGGUGAGUGGAUAUCCAAGUGUACCCCGAACACCAUUACUGUGUUUCCCUGCUGGCAUCAUUUCAUUUUCUUUUGAGUAUCUACAGUCAUGUUCCCCAGGUAAAUGAUUUUCCUUGCAAUUCUUUGCAUGAUAAGAGCUCCAUUGUGCUCAGCUGAGAUUUUUCCUUUUCCAGUUUCAGGUGGAGGGAGGAGGGACGAGCACAGGUUUCUCAGCUUGUCCUGGUCUUGUUACACAGCGGAGCAGCUGUCUCUUUUCAAGAGGUUUUCUCUGCUUCCACAUUUGCACUCGGCUUGUGCUGGACUGGACACUCAGAAGUACACCAGGCAGUUGUCACAAUCAAAUAUUAUUUAUUUGGAGACUCUGUAG